CUACUUACCUGCCAGGUGAGAUACUAUGAUCACGGAAGUGCUUCUCCCAGGGCAAGGCUCACCCAUUGCACUCUGGGUGUGCUGCCCCUGCAAUUUCCCCAAACGUGGGAGACUUGACUGCAUAAUUUGUGGUAGUAAGGGACUGCAUUUGUGCUUUCCCCAG